GCCGGGUGCAGUGGGGCAUGCCUGUAGUCCCAGCUACUCAGGAGGCUGAGGUGAAAGGAUCACUUAAGCCCAGGAGUUCUGGGCUGUAGUGCGCUAUGCCGAUCAGGUGUCCGCACUAAGUUUGGCAACAAUAUGGUGACCUCCCAGGAGUGAGGGACCACCAGGUUGCCUAAGGAGGGGUGAACCGGCGCAGACUGGAAACGGAGCAGGUCACAACUCCUGUGCUGAUCAGUAGUGGGAUCUUGCCUGUGCAUAACCAACACACUCCGGCCUGGGCAACAUAGUGAGACCCUGUCUCUU
rnacentral:SRP_RNA from 2 species